GGGGUUGUGACUCAGCGAUAGAGCGCUCAACUAGCACGUGCGAGGUGCUGGGUUCAAUCCUCAGCACCACA
rnacentral:tRNA from 1 species